GCGGGUGUAGCUCAGUUGGUUAGAGUGCCGGCCUGUCACGCCGGAGGUCGCGGGUUCGAGCCCGUCACUCGCGCCA
rnacentral:tRNA from 8 species